AUGUGACUGACAUCUAUAAAAAUAUCACUGACGUCUAUUAAUCUGGAAAGGGUUACAAAGCCUCUUGUAAGGCACCGAGACUCCAGUUAACCACAGUGAGAGACAUUACGAACAAAUGGAGAAAACUUGGAAGCGUGGUGAACCUUCCCAGGAGUGAGUGGCCUACCAAAAUGACCCCAAGACCACGUCAUCCAGGAGGUCACAAAAGAACACAGAACAACAUCUACAGAACUGCAGCCCUCACUUUCCUCAUUUAAGCUACCCGCUCUGUGGUACUCAGCCAUCAGGCACCCAAGUCUGUGUGGAUUUCUGUUGUGUUGUGUCUGGACCAUUAAAACCACUGACAGGUGAAAUGGAUACCACACUGAUGGAAAACCUUGGGUUUUGGCAAUUAUCUGCAUGACAAGCCCCAUAAUUGCCAGACAAUGCACCCUGCCACACUACAAAAACUGCUCAGGAACGACAAAGAGCCCAAAGGCUUGAACCGGCCCCUAAACUCCCCAGCAACAACAACUGGAACAAACCAGAUCCACAGACACUCCACGCUGCAACGCCGAGUGGAUACAUGUUCCUAAUGCCAGAGGACACCCCAAGAGCUUCUGGUAGCACAAGUGGGACCUACACAGUAAUAACUUUGUUUUGGGUGUUUUUUCAAUUGUUUAGUUACAUAUGAUAAUGUGGUACAAAAUAUGUUAAAACCCGUCUGAUUAACUGACCGCACAUUGCAAUUGUUGUGAAAGGAACAGAAUAAUACAUUUCAAUUAAAAGUGUUCAACAGGAAGUUAUGCCAAGACCCCAAUUACAUAUUCUCAGAAGAAGAGUGAAAUUACAUUUUUAUUACAAAAAGGAGAAAAAAAGAGUGAAAGCUAUGAGGUGGAAAUUAAAACAAAUUGACAUGCAUAUUUCAUUCUGAUGAAUGUGACAGACCCCAUUAACUGCACUGCAGUGGUGGUUUUUGGGGUUUUUUUUUUUAUUUUUCUGAGGUGAAUGUAGCUGAGGGUUGUGAUGAAAAGAGAAUGAAAAUGGGAGCAUGGAGGGGGACUGAGGUGGAGAGCUACGUUUAUGGAGCUGAAUGAAUUUAGUCCCAUCUCUAUGUGAGGAGACGUGACGUGACUACAUUGCAAAAUAAAUGGUCUCUCAUUCACAGCAGAUUGAUAAUCUAUGGGUCUCUCGUUGAACUGUAAGCAUGGACUGUAACUUCAAGAAGCUUCGAUUCAGAUGUUUUCGAGCAGCAAGACCAUUACAUCAGACCAAUCAAUGCUGACCAAAAUCUUUUGAACUGUGCG